CCUACGGGUGGCAGCAGUGGGGAAUAUUGGGCAAUGGGCGCAAGCCUGACCCAGCAACGCCGCGUGAAGGAAGAAGGCUUUCGGGUUGUCAACUUCUUUUAAGGGGGAAGAGCAGAAGACGGUACCCCUUGAAUAAGCCACGGCUAACUACGUGCCAGCAGCCGCGGUAAUACGUAGGUGGCAAGCGUUGUCCGGAUUUACUGGGUGUAAAGGGCGUGCAGCCGGAGAGACAAGUCAGAUGUGAAAUCCACGGGCUCAACACGUGAACUGCAUUUGAAACUGUUUCCCUUGAGUGUCGGAGAGGUAAGCGGAAUUCCUUGUGUAGCGGUGAAAUGCGUAGAUAUAAGGAAGAACACCAGUGGCGAAGGCGGAUUACUGGACGAUAACUGACGGUGAGGCGCGAAAGCGUGGGGAGCGAAAGGGAUUAGAUACCCGGGUAGUC
rnacentral:rRNA from 1 species